rnacentral:rRNA from 1 species
ACGGGUGAGUAACACGUGGGUGAUCUGCCCUGCACUUCGGGAUAAGCUUGGGAAACUGGGUCUAAUACCGGAUAGGACCGCACUUUAGUGUGUGUGGUGGAAAGUUUUUUCGGUGUAGGAUGAGCUCGCGGCCUAUCAGCUUGUUGGUGGGGUAAUGGCCUACCAAUGCGGCGACGGGUAGCCGGCCUGAGAGGGUGUACGGCCACAUUGGGACUGAGAUACGGCCCAGACUCCUACGGGAGGCAGCAGUGGGGAAAUAUUGCACAAUGGGCGCAAGCCUGAUGCAGCGACUCCGCUUGGGGGAUGAAGGCCUUCGGGUUGUAAACUCCUUUCGCUAGGGACGAAGCUUUUUUGUGACGGUACCUAGAUAAGAAGCACCGGCUAACUACGUGCCAGCAGCCCGCGGUAAUACGUAGGGUGCGAGCGUUGUCCGGAAUUACUGGGCGUAAAGGGCUCGUAGGUGGUUUGUCGCGUCGUCUGUGAAAUUCUGGGGCUUAACUCCGGGCGUGCAGGCGAUACGGGCAUAACUUGAGUGCUGUAGGGGUAACUGGAAUUCCUGGUGUAGCGGUGAAAUGCGCAGAUAUCAGGAGGACACCGAUGGCGAAGGCAGGUUACUG